CGGACGGGUGAGUAACACGUGGAUAACCUACCUAUAAGACUGGGAUAACUUCGGGAAACCGGAGCUAAUACCGGAUAAUAUUUUGAACCGCAUGGUUCAAAAGUGAAAGACGGUCUUGCUGUCACUUAUAGAUGGAUCCGCGCUGCAUUAGCUAGUUGGUAAGGUAACGGCUUACCAAGGCAACGAUGCAUAGCCGACCUGAGAGGGUGAUCGGCCACACUGGAACUGAGACACGGUCCAGACUCCUACGGGAGGCAGCAGUAGGGAAUCUUCCGCAAUGGGCGAAAGCCUGACGGAGCAACGCCGCGUGAGUGAUGAAGGUCUUCGGAUCGUAAAACUCUGUUAUUAGGGAAGAA
rnacentral:rRNA from 1 species